CGUGUACCAAUAUAUUAUACGGACGUGUACCAUCAAACCCGACUGUAUGCGUUGUAAUCGAUAUUGUAGCGAACGAAAACUUCAAAUUAAAAACAACGCGGCUCGCGGUCCGAGUUUUCAAUACAACGUUAGAAUGCCACGGAUGAGGAGACAUACAGGAUGCCGAACGACGAGAGCUUAUCGGCCGAAGACCGCGGAAGUUUCCGAAACCCGGAAUAACUAUUAGGUAUAGCGUUUUUUCGCCACGAUGGCGUCCGACGGACUGCCAAUACAAUUCGGUACCGUUUGAUGAGAAUUAUGAUUUCGUACAUUGAUCGAUGAACCGAUCGGUCGCCUCGAUUAUUUCGCGCCGUUUCGUGUGCCGGCGGGCGGUGUAUCGUAAAAAAAUGUGUCGGGCAUUUAACCGCCGUAACUGUUUAGCGCCACGAGCCGACCCGCCUGCCGAACUUUCGAACCGCCAAAAUAUCGAUGGCAGACUGUCGUCCGGCACCCUCCGGUACAACAUCGUAAUUCGCGGACGCGAGCAGCUAGCGAUGGACACUUCCGAACCGUUUAUGUCACCCGGUGUUUCGUUCGAUUAGUAUUUUAUUUCCGCGGCCGAAUACUCGAAUAUAUUGGCUGGUCGAACGGCUUUUUCCGCAACCGGCGGUGUAAACCAGUGUGUUAUAAUAUUCCGUCGCGUCAAUGCGAUGAAGCAAUUAAGUUUUUACGGUUAUUUUCCGAUUGGUCGGCCGACGCGGCAAUUAUGCGUGUCGGACGAUUUUUCUCGGUUAUAUCGGCCACAUAACGACGACGGUAUCGCAAAACGUCCGCGGGGGAGCGUGUCCCGUAAACGUGUCUCGUUUGGAAAAUUG